rnacentral:rRNA from 1 species
GGUUAAGUGAAUAAGGGCGCACGGUGGAUGCCUUGGCACUAGGAGCCGAUGAAGGACGGGACUAACACCGAUAUGCUUUGGGGAGCUGUACGUAAGCUAUGAUCCAGAGAUUUCCGAAUGGGGGAACCCAGCAUCUUUAAUAGGAUGUUACGAUUGUGUGAAUACAUAGCA